UGAGCAACCUGCCCUUGACACUGGAAUAACAGUUGGAAACAGCUGCUAAUACCGGAUAUGACCUCCGACGACAUCGUCUGGAGGUGGAAAGCUCCGGCGGCCAAGGAUGGGCUCGCGGCCUAUCAGCUUGUUGGUGAGGUAACGGCUCACCAAGGCUUCGACGGGUAGCCGGCCUGAGAGGGCGACCGGCCACACUGGGACUGAGAUACGGCCCAGACUCCUACGGGAGCAG
rnacentral:rRNA from 1 species